GUUUAGUUGCUUAGGAUCAGGAUGGAAUAAGGAUGGCAGAAUAUCAUGGUGAACAGAUGGGGGUCAACGUUCAGAGGGUAAUCUGGCCAGAAGAAGGAAGUUAAAGGUACAGACCAGCGUCUCAACACGGUUGCUUGAGAUUCCUGAUAGCAUGGUGGCUAGAUCCCAAAAAGGAGUGCUCCAAGAAGUAAAGUUCCCCAGUAACCAGCAAGAAGCAGAACUUCCAUUCUUAUGCUGUAACAACAAAGUGGCACUUCAACCAUCUGUCUCCUUCCCCUCUGUGUCAGUGGGGCCCAACAGGGAUCUGAGCUUACACUUCAACUUAAAAGCAAUACAUUCUAUGAAUGUAAGAAGCAUGGUAAACAAAUGGCAUCAGACAAUACUUACUGGUGAUUGAAGAAACUGCCCAUGGGAUCAUAACAGAAGCCCCGGUGAUAGUCUUCUCAGAUUGAACCACAGCACUAAUGGAGAUUACCAAAAUUUAUAGGAUAAGAUUACUGAAAUUUCUAUGUUGUUUUAUCCCAUUGAAAUCAAUGGAAAGCAAAGGACAGGAAAGAGCCAAACAGACAAUUUUCCCCUCUCAUCUCUAUGAUAUGGUCCCUCCUUACAGUUCUUCUGGAAAAGUCCAGAGUGCCAAGCAAAUAUACUGACUCUGGGGUCCUGCUGUGCUGCAUCGUGGCUCAUUGUGAACCAGUGGUCAAUCCAGGAGGCCAUCUCCAUAGAUACUUUGCAUCAUUUCCUUUCCCUCCCCUUCACCACUGGGGACUUACACUUCCCAAAUAAAAUAUCAACAAUUCAAUCCAUAUCCCUGCAUUCUAGACGCUUAGCACACUCCCAUGACCCACAUGCUGGUGAGGAUGUUGAGUUCAUGUGAAGCCUUGGUAAUUUUGGUUGGAAACAUGUUUCUAGAAUCAAGGCAAUGUGGUUUGGUCAAAUUCAGAUGAGAUUGUGGAGCCGCGUGUCCUAGAUUCCAGCUUUGGCUCUAGACCUUAUAAACCAACCCUGUGGCCUUUUAUCUCUCUCAUCAGUCUAAUGGAAAUCAUAUUACCUGCCUUCCUUAUCUGGAAAUGUCAUCAUCAGGAUCAAGAGAGAUAAGGUUUGAGAAAGUAAUGUGUAAGCCAUUAAGUAGUACACAGAUGACCAUUACUGCUGUCAAACAGGAAUUUGAUGCAAUGAACUCUGUUCCCCUUUUCUGUCAAUACAAGUUCAGUGUUAAACAUUUAUACAGUUGUGAAAACUUCAA
rnacentral:lncRNA from 1 species